rnacentral:rRNA from 1 species
GACGAACGCUGGCGGCGUGCCUAACACAUGCAAGUCGAACGGACAGGCCCUGCUUUUGUGGGGUGCUUGUGAGGCGAACGGGUGAGUAACACGUGAGUAUCCUGUCCUUGUCUUUGGGAUAACACUAGGAAAAUGGGGCUCUUAUCGGAUAGGAGCUUCUGCUGCAUGGUGGGGGAUGGAAAGUUUCGGUGGUUUGGGAUGGACUCGCGGGUUAUCCGCUUGAUGGUGGGGUAGUGGCUUACCAAGGCUUCGACGGGUAGGCGGCCUGAGAGGGUGACCGGCCACAUGAGGACUGAGAUACGCACCAGAAGGCUACGGGAGGCAAUAGGGGGGAAUAUUACACAGUAAGGGGAAGCCUGAGACGACGGCGCCGCGUGCGUGAUGACGGGCUUCGGGGUGUAAACCGCUUUCGCCGGAAACGAAGCGUGAGUGACGGUAAUGGAUAAAAAAGCACCGGCUAACUACGUG